GUUUUAAUAAUUUAAAUCAUAAAAUUUUGGUCUUGUAAAUCAAACAUGGGGCACCCCUUAAAACU
rnacentral:tRNA from 1 species